rnacentral:rRNA from 1 species
GACGAACGCUGGCGGCGUGCCUAAUACAUGCAAGUAGAACGCUGAAGAGAGGAGCUUGCUCUUCUUGGAUGAGUUGCGAACGGGUGAGUAACGCGUAGGAAACCUGCCUGGUAGCGGGGGAUAACUAUUGGAAACGAUAGCUAAUACCGCAUAAAAUUGAUUAUUGCAUGAUAAUUAAUUGAAAGAUGCAACUGCAUCACUACCAGAUGGACCUGCGUUGUAUUAGCUAGUUGGUGAGGUAACGGCUCACCAAGGCGACGAUACAUAGCCGACCUGAGAGGGUGAUCGGCCACACUGGGACUGAGACACGGCCCAGACUCCUACGGGAGGCAGCAGUAGGGAAUCUUCGGCAAUGGGGGGAACCCUGACCGAGCAACGCCGCGGGAGUGAAGAAGGUUUUCGAAUCGUAAAGCUCUGUUGUAAGAGAAGAACGGGUGUGAGAGUGGAAAGUUCACACUGUGACGGUAUCUUACCAGAAAGGGACGGCUAACUACGUG